CACGCUGUAAACGAUGAUCACUAGUUGUUAGCGAUAUACUGUUAGCGACUGAGGGAAACCAUUAAGUGAUCCACCUGGGGAGUACGGCCGCAAGGUUGAAACUCAAAGGAAUUGACGGGGGCCCGCACAAGCGGAGGAGCAUGUGGUUUAAUUCGAUGAUACGCGAGGAACCUUACCUGGGCUUAAAUGUAGGACGACAGUCCCGGAAACGGGAUCUCCCUUCGGGGCGUCUUGCAAGGUGCUGCAUGGUUGUCGUCAGCUCGUGCCGUGAGGUGUCGGGUUAAGUCCCAUAACGAGCGCAACCCCUAUUCUUAGUUGCCAUCAGGUAAUGCUGGGAACUCUAAGGAAACUGCCUACGCAAGUAGU
rnacentral:rRNA from 1 species